UACGGAGGGUGGCGAGCGUUGUCCGGAAUCACUGGGCGUAAAGGGCGCGUAGGUGGCGCGGGAAGUCAACGGUGAAAGUUCGGGGCGUCAACCCUCGAAUCGGCCGUCGAUACUCCCGGGCUCGAGCACUGUGAGAGGCAGAUGGAAUUCCGGGUGUAGCGGUGGAAUGCGUAGAGAUCCGGAAGAACACCGGUGGCGAGGCGGUCUGCUGGGCAGUUGCUGGACACUGAGGCGCGACGAGCGGUGGGGAGCAAACAGGG
rnacentral:rRNA from 1 species